AACUUCUUCCUUUUGUUCUUGUGCAGUGUUAAUCCAUUUAGACUUAUUGGAGUGGGACUGACAGUCUGGACCUUUGCUACUGCUGGUUGUGGCCUGUCAAUUGAUUUCUGGUCCAUUACCAUAUGCAGAAUGCUGGUCGGUGUUGGUGAGGCAUCUUUCAUAAGCCUUGCUGCUCCAUUCAUUGAUGACAAUGCCCCAGUUGAUCAG